UACGAAGGGUGCAAGCGUUACUCGGAAUUACUGGGCGUAAAGCGUGCGUAGGUGGUUGUUUAAGUCUGUUGUGAAAGCCCUGGGCUCAACCUGGGAACUGCAGUGGAAACUGGACAACUAGAGUGUGGUAGAGGGUAGCGGAAUUCCCGGUGUAGCAGUGAAAUGCGUAGAGAUCGGGAGGAACAUCCAUGGCGAAGGCAGCUACCUGGACCAACACUGACACUGAGGCACGAAAGCGUGGGGAGCAAAC
rnacentral:rRNA from 2 species